rnacentral:rRNA from 1 species
GUACACACCGCCCGUCACAUCAUGAAAGCCGGUUGUACCCGAAGUCGCUAAGCCAACUGCAAAGAGGCAGGCGCCCAAGGUAUGGCCGGUGAUUGGGGUGAAGUCGUAACAAGGUAGCCGUAGGUGAACCUGCAGAAGGAUCA